rnacentral:rRNA from 1 species
GGGCCCGCACAAGCGGUGGAUUAUGUGGAUUAAUUCGAUGCAACGCGAAAAACCUUACCUGGCCUUGACAUGUACCGAAUUUAGCAGAGAUGCUUUAGUGCUCGUAAGAGAACGGUAACACAGGUGCUGCAUGGCUGUCGUCAGCUCGUGUCGUGAGAUGUUGGUUAAGUCCCGCAACGAGCGCAACCCUUGCCAUUAAUUGCCAUCAUUUAGUUGGGCACUUUAAUGGGACUGCCGGUGACAAACCGGAGGAAGGUGGGGAUGACGUCAAGUCCUCAUGGCCCUUAUGGCCAGGGCUUCACACGUAAUACAAUGGGGCGUACAGAGGGUUGCGAAGCCGCGAGGUGGAGCC